rnacentral:rRNA from 1 species
GUUUGAUCCUGGCUCAGGAUGAACGCUGGCGGCGUGCCUAACACAUGCAAGUUGAGCGGCAGCGCGAGUAGUUUACUACUUGGCGGCGAGCGGCGAACGGCUGAGUAACGCGUGGGAAUUUGCCCCAAAGUGAGGAAUAACUGCCCGAAAGGGUGGCUAAUGCCGCAUAUGAUCUUCGGAUUAAAGGAUUUAUCCGCUUUGGGAGAAGCCCGCGUCGGAUUAGGUAGUUGGUGAGGUAAUGGCUCACCAAGCCGACGAUCCGUAGCUGGUCUGAGAGGAUGACCAGCCAGACUGGAACUGAGACACGGUCCAGACUCCUACGGGAGGCAGCAGUGAGGAAUCUUCCACAAUGGGCGAAAGCCUGAUGGAGCAACGCCGCGUGCAGGAUGAAGGCCUUCGGGUUGUAAACUGCUUUUAUAAGUGAGGAAUAUGACGGUAGCUUAUGAAUAAGGAUCGGCUAACUACGUGCCAGCAGCCGCGGUCAUACGUAGGAUCCGAGCGUUAUCCGGAGUGACUGGGCGUAAAGAGUUGCGUAGGCGGUUUGUUAAGUGAAUAGUGAAAUCUGGUGGCUCAACCAUACAGGCUAUUAUUCAAACUGGCAAACUCGAGAGUGGUAGAGGUCACUGGAAUUUCUUGUGUAGGAGUGAAAUCCGUAGAUAUAAGAAGGAACACCGAUGGCGUAGGCAGGUGACUGGACCAUUUCUGACGCUAAGGCACGAAAGCGUGGGGAGCGAACCGGAUUAGAUACCCGGGUAGUCCACGCCGUAAACGAUGGAUACUGGCUGUUGGAGGUAUCGACCCCUUCAGUAGCGAAGCUAACGCGUUAAGUAUCCCGCCUGUGGAGUACGGCCGCAAGGCUAAAACAUAAAGGAAUUGACGGGGACCCGCACAAGCGGUGGAUCGUGUUCUUUAAUUCGAUGCUAAACGAAGAACCUUACCAGGGCUUGACAUCCAGGGAAUUUUUGGGAAACCAAUUAGUGCCUUUUGGAACCCUGUGACAGGUGAUGCAUGGCCGUCGUCAGCUCGUGUCGUGAGAUGUUUGGUUAAGUCCAUCAACGAGCGCAACCCUU